GCAACAUCAAUUCAUAAGAGAUCACUAAAUUCAAUUGGGUAUAAAAUUUGUUCUAUUGAUGUUUUUGGAAAUCUGAGACACAGUUUUGGAGGCCAAGCUGUGUUGUACAAGAAUCUAUAAAAUAUUUUGGGAUGCUAUGAAGAACAAAGACGCUAAAUUCAUUCAAGUAUGGACAUCACAAUAUAGCAACUAAUUACACAACAAUUAAUUAUG
rnacentral:lncRNA from 1 species